AACCUGGUUGAUCCUGCCAGUAGUCAUAUGCUUGUCUCAAAGAUUAAGCCAUGCAUGUCUAAGUUUAAACGACUUUAAACGUGAAACUGCGAAAGGCUCAUUAAAUCAGUUAUAGUUUAUUUGAUAGUCCCUACUACAUGGAUAACCGUGGUAAUUCUAGAGCUAAUACAUGCGACAAGGCCCGACUUCGGAAGGGUUGUAUUUAUUAGAUACAAAAGCCAAUAUUUUUGGUGAAUCAGAAUAACUAAACUGACCCCAUGGCAUAUGCUGGGGGUGAAUCAUUCAAAUUUCUGCCCUAUCAACUUUCGAUGGUAAGGUAUUGGCUUACCAUGGUGACAACGGGUAACGGGGAAUUAGGGUUCGGUUCCGGAGAGGGAGCCUGAGAAACGGCUACCACUUCCAAGGAAGGCAGCAGGCGCGCAAAUUACCCAGUCCUGACACAGGGAGGUAGUGACAAUAAAUACUAAUCCAGGGCUCUUUGAGCUUUGGAAUUGGAAUGAGAACAAUGUAAAACUCUUAUCGAGAACCAAUUGGAGGGCAAGUCUGGUGCCAGCAGCCGCGGUAAUUCCAGCUCCAAUAGCGUAUAUUAAAGUUGUUGCAGUUAAAAAGCUCGUAGUUGGAUGUCUGGCUCUCGCAGGAGCUGUCUGCCGAAAGGUAGUACGGCUCGGCGGGGCCAUCCUCUCGAGGACGGGGUGUGCCUUUAACUAGGUGUGCCUUUGGACUCGGGACCUUUACUUUGAAAAAAUUAGAGUGUUCAAAGCAGGCCUACGCUUGAAUACAUUAGCAUGGAAUAAUGGAAUAGGACUUCGGUUUCUAUUUUGUUGGUUUCUAGAACUGAGGUAAUGAUUAAUAGGGAUAGUUGGGGGCAUUAGUAUUUAAUUGUCAGAGGUGAAAUUCUUGGAUUUAUUAAAGACUAACAUCUGCGAAAGCAUUUGCCAAGGAUGUUUUCAUUAAUCAAGAACGAAAGUUAGGGGAUCGAAGACGAUCAGAUACCGUCGUAGUCUUAACCAUAAACUAUGCCGACUAGGGAUCGGUGAGUGUUUUUACAACCUCAUCGGCACCUUAUGGGAAACCAAAGUUUUUGGGUUCCGGGGGGAGUAUGGUCGCAAGGCUGAAACUAAAGGAAUGACGGAAGGCCCCCGAGCGUU
rnacentral:rRNA from 1 species